ACAGGAGGAAUGCUGUUAGCCAAUCCAAGAAGAGAAUCUUAUCGAAGGCCGGUAAUGAUGCAACCAAUGUAAGGUAGGCCAGCUGAGGUAGGGGCGGGGGUUAGGGUUGAUUGGCAAAGCGGGCUCCUAUUGCUGAGGUCGUUAUUCCUUGGGUCUCCCGGGGCUGAGGGGAGGAGCCGGGCGGUGGGUGUGCCCCGUAGGCGGCCUCCUCGACCUUUGAGAGCCACGAAAGGAGGGGGAGGUGGCCGGUGGGAGUUUCGUAGCAGCAGCCUUCCGGUACCCGCGGAGCAGGUGACUGUCAUCUGCUGUCAGAGAAACACAAAGAAAGUGGAUCACAUUAGCAAAAACCAAAUGAAGACGCUCCAAAUGACAAAAGAACUGGAAGGCUACAGACCUUAAGGCUGCUGGUCCUUGUUCCAAAUCUGCUGCUGAUUCACCAUAUGAUGCUGGGAAACUCUCAUAUCCUCUCUGAGCCUGGGCUUUUCAUCAGUACAAUACAGGUACACACAGUAAAAUGUACAAAUCUCAGUGUACAGCUCAAUGAAUUUUGACAUGUGUGUACACAAAUGUAACCAUCACCCGGAUCAAGAUAUCAAACAUUCUAAAGAUCGUACCAUGGGGAAAAAAAAUAGACAUCAGACAUUCUCACAAAAUUUUUUCCCCUUCAUUUGUAUGUUCUCUAGUUUCUUCAUUUCCCAACUGUAAGAGUAGGGACAGGAAACAGAACCAAGAAAACCAAAUUCCAAGCUAGCAAUGGGGAAAGCUGAGAGCCAGUCCAGUUUAUACUACAGAAUCCUCAGAACAGGCAGCACCAGGCAGCAGACUGGAAGAUUCUUCCUUGAGAACUUGACCAGCCCAACAGGAAAUACCUAAAGAUUUUGCUAUCAGGGGUUCUGCAAAAAGUAGCCUACCCAAAUCACCAUACAGGGAAGUUCAGUGUCCAAAGCCCCACUCCUGCUCUCAGAAGUUCCAGUCAACAUUUUAGGUGCCCAUUCUUAAUCACCACCAGACAUUCAGACAUGACCAGACAUCUGAGGAAAGCCAUUACUGUGAAACGCAAAGAUCAAAAAGCCCAAAAUAAAACCUAAAGAUCCAGAAAAAAAAAAAAAGUAACCUGGAAGAAACAGCAAUUGUGCAGGAAGAAGAAAACAAUAAAACAAAAUUAUCAAUAUUACCUUCAAAGAAAUAAAAGAAGAUAUUUCAGUCAUGAAACAACAACAGGCUAUGUAUUCAACAAAGUAACAUUCAGAGGACAAUAUUAAAAAGCACUCUUGAGAAUGAAAAACAUGGAAACAACAAUGAAAAGCUAAUCUAUCAAGGCAGGAUACCCUUGAGGAAAUCUCCCAGAAAGUUAAGCAAAAAGUCAGAGGUGAAAAAUAGAAAGGAAAAUAAAAGAAAAAUAGUGGCUCAAUCCAAAAGAUCUAAUAUCUAAAUGAUAGAAAUGAGAAAGAAAAAACUGGAGGGGAUAAAUCAAUGAAAUAACCCAAGAAAAUUUCCCAAAUCGAAGGACAUGAACAGAUAUGCUGAAAGGGUCCACCAAAUACUCAACCAAUGGAUGAAAACAGGUACACAGGAAGGCACCUUAGUGUGGAAUUUCACAACAUUGGGUGAAAGAUUUCUACAAGGUUCCAGACAGAGAACACAGGUGGUUCGGAGAGGAGUUCUCAACACUAAGAAGGAAGCUGGAAGACAACAAAGCAAUGUUUUCCAAGUUUGGAAGAAAAUUUAUUUUCCAAACAAGAAUUCUAGGUCCAGAUAAGCAAUCAAUCAAAUAUGAAGAUAAAAUAAAAGUCAUUUUAAGAUAUUCAAGGUCUCACAUUGUUGACUUCCCGUGAACACUUCCUUUUUCGAAAAAUUCUCAAAAUAGUGCAAAAUAAAGCAAUAACCAUGAAGAGAACAUGGGAUACAGGUAACCAGUAAGCCAACCUACAAGAGCAUUAAAAGGAAUCCCUGAGAGAGUGGUGGAGAUCCCAAGAGAAUAGUUUGCCCCCACCCCGUUGAAGAUGACAGCCAGUUCAGACUGGAGCAGUUAGACUGAAGACCAGAGACAUUCUUACCUCAGUCAUCACCAGGAUUUCCUCUGCCAUUAUACUCCUUUGAACCUGAGGACAGAGUGCCCAGCUGAGUGGGCCAGCUGAAGACAUUCAUUCCACUCCUUGGAUUUACUCUUGAGCAUUAGAGAGAAUCUAUAGGUGCUUAGAAGCAAAACAAACAUACAGCCCACUGCCUCUGCCCAUGAACCUACUGGAUAACCUGUCUAUAAAUCUAUAGCUCUACUAGAUUUUCUGGUCCCAGAGCCCUAGACUUCAGGACUUACUUAUUUGCUUAAUCAUUGACUUCUCCCAGAUGGUUCAGAUAUACUCACGAAAGCUUCAGUAGGAGGACUGUGACCCAGAGACUGUUCACCUCCUUUCCUUCUGGGAGCCUUCAUAAUAGUGGCAAUAUUGUGCUCUCUCACACAGCUAGAUUUGUGUUUGACACUCAGCUUUUUUCCUCUAAAUUAAACAAUAUGGUAUUUAGGCAUACACAUAUAUGUUGAAAAACUCCAAGGAAAUAGUUAUUUUGGUGGAAAGGAAGGCAUACAAUUGGGGAGGAGCACAGAGAGAAUUUCUAGGUACCAGUAGAGUUUUAUUUCUUUACCUAGGUGCUAAGUUCAUAAUAGCUUAUAUUGUUAUUAUUAUUUAGACUGAACAUAGAGGUUUUAUAUACUCCUUUAUAGGUAUUUAGCACACACACACAAUAUCGAUAUAGAAGAAAAAAAAUCCAUGACCCAACACCUAGAUGCAACAAAUACUAACAUUUUUAAGUAUCUCCUAUCAUUUUAUUCUGUGCAUUUUGCAUUAUUGAGAUCAUACUAUGCAUACAUUUUUAACAUAUGCCUUUUUAAGAGACUUUUUAAUAUAAGCAUCUUAUGUUACUAAAUUCUUUACACAUUUAUCAUUUUAGGAACCGUUAUAAUAUUAAUUGAAAUUCUUUCUUCCCUAUUUCAAAGAGCAUAGCUCUGAGGAAUGACAUGGACUGAAUUUUGUGCUGGUGGAAGCUUGUAUCUGAAAAUGCAUGCAGAGUAAUCCAGAAUGUCCCUCUACCCCCAGUCACCCUGUCAAAACCCCCAUAUCCUUCAAAGCCCAGCUCAAAUUCCACCAUCUCCAGGAAGCCUAACCACCCUUCCACCCUUCAGGGAAACCUCCAUCUUUAACCUUCCAUGAUAUGGUGCUUAUUAUCUAUUCUGCAUCUUUUUAUUUGGAUUCAUUUGGAUUCAUUUUUUUUAUCCCCUCGUACACUACAAAUUCUUGAGGACAGAGCUCUCUAUCUUAGAGGGUCUGGAAAAUACAAAGUGUUCCAUAAGUAUUAAGUAAAUAAACUUGAAAGACUGCUUUUUUAUUCUUUGUGUUAAUAUCCUGCAUUACCAAUGGUGUUUGUCAAUAUAAUUAAGUUACUUAAGGGCCUUCACCCAAAUUGAAGGUUAUCAAAUGGAGGCACAUUCUUUUUGUCCAUAAUUGCCACAUUCUGAAAUUGGGAACAUGACCACCCCUGCUGUCCCUGAUAAUAGAUUUGAUAUUUGCUUUGAAGGCUGGAUUAAGGAAUGUAUGUGCUCUUAUCUAAAAAUAAUAGUUUGUAUUUAUUGAGAGUCUGUUAUGUGCUAGACACCAGCCUAAGCAAUUUGCAUGCCUCUGUGAUUUAAUUCCCAGAAACACUAUGAGGUAAAAGUUAUUUAGUUUACUCAUUUUACACCUGAGGACACUGAAUCACUUGUGCAGAGUUAGCCAGGUUGUAGAUGGAGGUACCAGGGCUCCAGCCCAGAUCUGCCUGAGUCUGACCUUCCUCACUUCAAAGCCAGGCUGCCUCCUCAGAAAUAUAACCACAAAAUCUAAAUCUUGAUCUCCAGCUCUCGGUUCCAUAUGACAAAACUAGUUCUCCAUCAAAUGGCUAACACUUGUGAAUUUGCAUUUUUAAUUGAUAUAUUCAAAAGAACAGUAGAUACUGUUUACAAAAGAAAUAAGAAAGAAAUCCAUAAUUUCAUCUCCUAACAAUUACUGUCAUUUUGGAAUACCCUUUUCUAGUCUUUCCCCAUUU